UUCCGGGAGGAUUGACAGAUUGAGAGCUCUUUCUUAAUUCGGUGGAUGGUGGUACAUGUCCGUUCUUAGUUGGUGGAGCGAUAUGUAUGGUUAAUUACGGUAACGAACAAGAUUUUAGCCUAUUAAAUAGGUGCGUGGUUCUCCGCACCUUACACCCUUCUUGCCUGGGACAAGCUGCUCCUAGCCGCACGAAACAGAGCAAUAACAGGUCUGUGAUGCCCUUAGAU
rnacentral:rRNA from 1 species